ensembl:snRNA U6 U6 spliceosomal RNA
GUGCUUGCUUAGGCAGCACAUAUACUAAAAUUGGAACGACGUGGAGAACAGCAGGGCCCCAGCUCAAGGAUGACAUACACAUUCGUAAAAGGAUUGUCAGGUAUUU